GACGAACCACACGAACGUUAUUCGGAAUUACUGGGCUUAAAGGGCGCGUAGGCGGCCGCCUAAGUCAGACGUGAAAUCCCUCGGCUUAACCGGGGAACUGCGUCUGAUACUGGAUGGCUUGAGUUUGGGAGAGGGACGCGGAAUUCCAGGUGUAGCGGUGAAAUGCGUAGAUAUCUGGAGGAACACCGGUGGCGAAGGCGGCGUCCUGGGACCAACACUGACACUGAGGAGCGAAAGCCAGGGGAGCAAACGGG
rnacentral:rRNA from 1 species